rnacentral:rRNA from 1 species
AUUCCUACGGGAGGCAGCAGUAGGGAAUCUUAGACAAUGGGCGCAAGCCUGAUCUAGCCAUGCCGCGUGAGUGAUGAAGGCCCUAGGGUCGUAAAGCUCUUUCGCCUGUGAAGAUAAUGGCUGUAGCAGGUAAAGAAACCCCGGCUAACUCCGUGCCAGCAGCCGCGGUAAUACGGAGGGGGUUAGCGUUGUUCGGAAUUACUGGGCGUAAAGCGCGCGUAGGCGGACAUUUAAGUCAGGGGUGAAAUCCCGGGGCUCAACCCCGGAACUGCCCUUGAUACUGGGUGUCUUGAGUUCGAGAGAAGUGAGUGGAAUUCCGAGUGUAGAGGUGAAAUUCGUAGAUAUUCGGAGGAACACCAGUGGCGAAGGCGGCUCACUGGCUCGAUACUGACGCUGAGGUGCGAAAGUGUGGGGAGCAAACAGGAUUAGAUACCCUGGUAGUCCACACCGUAAACGAUGAAUGCCAGUCGUCGGGCAGUAUACUGUUCGGUGACACACCUAACGGAUU